rnacentral:rRNA from 1 species
UCUCGGGAGGGCAAGUCUGGUGCCAGCAGCCGCGGUAAUUCCAGCUCCAAUAGCGUAUAUUAAAGUUGUUGCAGUUAAAAAGCUCGUAGUUGAAUUUCGGGAUCAGUACGCUGGUCGUGCCUUCGGUAUGAACUGGUGUCACUGGUUCCUCCCUUCUGAAGAACCGUCAUGCCAUUCAGUUGGUGUGGCGGGAAAUCAGGACUGUUACUUUGAAAAAAUUAGAGUGUUUAAAGCAGGCUCGCGCUUGAAUACAUUAGCAUGGAAUAAUGGAAUAGGACGUUUGACCCUAUUUUGUUGGUUUCUAGGAUCGACGUAAUGAUUAAUAGGGAUAGUUGGGGGCAUUAGUAUUCAAUUGUCAGAGGUGAAAUUCUUGGAUUUAUUGAAGACUAACUACUGCGAAAGCAUUUGCCAAGGAUGUUUCCAUUAAUCAAGAACGAAAGUUAGGGGAUCGAAGACGAUCAGAUACCGUCGUAGUCUUAACCAUAAACUAUGCCGACUAGGGAUCGGAUGAUGU